AAAAAAACAAAAACUUUGGAUCAACAAGAGCAGCUCUGUGAGCUCAGUCGUGCGAUUGCUGUUCUAUCAUCGGCUUCUUCCGUAAGCCUGGAGCGUCAUGAGUUUUUGAGACUUGUCAAAAAAGAGAUUGAGUUGUACAACAGCAUGGUGGAUAAAGGCGGCCCUGAAGGUGAAGAAGAAGUCCGGAAGGCAUAUAAAGCAGCUAGGGAGGAGGAUAAUGACCACACUCAAGAAAGGACUGUGGAUGAUAAAGUUUCUUCAGCACUUAUUAAUAGGGUUGAUGUAAUGCUCCAAAAACUUGAAAAGGAAAUUGAU
rnacentral:misc_RNA from 1 species